rnacentral:tRNA from 1 species
GGGCGAUUAGCUCAGUUGGCUAGAGCGUAUGAUUGACGUUCAUAAGGUCAGAGGUUCGACCCCUCUAUCGCCCACCA